rnacentral:lncRNA from 1 species
UUCAAAGCACUUUUAGGUCCACAGCAAAAUUGAGAGGAAGGCAUAGAGAUUUCCCACAUACCGCUAUCCCCACACAUUCACAGCCUCCCCAUUAUCAACAUCCCCCACCUGAGUGGUACAUUUGCUACAAUCAAUAAACCUACAUUGACACAUCGUCAUCACCCAAAGCCCAUGGUUUAUAUUAGAUUCGCUCUUGGUGUUGUACCUUCUACUGAUUUGGACAAAUGUAUUGUGUCCAUCACUAUUGUAUCAUACAGAGAAUUCUCACUGCCCUCAAAAUCCUCUGUGCUCUGCCUUUUCCUCCUUCACCAAACCCCAUGAUUCCUUUUGCAUGACAUUCUGGAAAGCACAAAUGUAAGUUUACACAUACUAACUAUGGUUCUGAAGACAUGAUUUUAAAAAAUAACAUCAAUAAUAGUAAUGAAAACAAAUAAUGAUAAUAAUGAUAAUACUAAUACUCUCUUAGAUUUGUGUGGUUUUGAAAGUCGUUUUAUUUUUAUUAUUCGUUUACUCCUCACGCUCCUGGCAACUUUUGUAUCUAUUUGAAUCAUUUGUACUUUUACAGAAUUGUACUAUAAUUCGACAAGUGGCUUCCACCGCUUCAUCUCCAUCGUGCAUCCCUGCAAUCAGUCACUGACCAGAAUCUCGUGUCGCCAGCAAUGAUGUAUAGUAAUAGCAACAACAAGGAUGGAAAUGGUAUCAUUAAUAUAUCUUAUUCUCUCACUGUCCAGCAAUAAGGGAAAGUGCCUGUGCAUUAAGAACCAAGCUGUCUCUGCACUUUGAAGGACAGGAGCUCACACACACAAAGCACCAGAUCUCAUCAUGCUGCCCUAAGCAAGCGUCCAGACGUGGGAAACAGCGUCCUGACCACAGCCAGAAUCAGGAGAUGGAGACGCACAGACGGUCCCUGUCCUCCAGGAACUUGAACACGACCAACAGCCACCCCACACCAACAGUAAGGGCUGUCGGGUUCGGGACACGAGCUCCUCGUCUGCAUGUAAGGCUUUUACUGCCGUGCUGUGAACUCUGGUAUGCGUCUUCUUUUUAAAGUGUGAUAACACAGUCAUUCUAAACCUAUCUCCCUUGAUUUGAAAGUG